rnacentral:rRNA from 1 species
AGAGUUUGAUCCUGGCUCAGAUUGAACGCUGGCGGCAUGCUUUACACAUGCAAGUCGAACGGCAGCAUAGAGAGCUUGCUCUCUGAUGGCGAGUGGCGAACGGGUGAGUAAUACAUCGGAACGUGUCCUUUUGUGGGGGAUAACUACUCGAAAGAGUAGCUAAUACCGCAUAAGACCUACGGGUGAAAGCGGGGGACCUUCGGGCCUCGCGCAGUUGGAGCGGCCGAUGACUGAUUAGCUAGUUGGUGGGGUAAAGGCCUACCAAGGCGACGAUCAGUAGCUGGUCUGAGAGGACGACCAGCCACAUUGGGACUGAGACACGGCCCAAACUCCUACGGGAGGCAGCAGUGGGGAAUUUUGGACAAUGGGGGCAACCCUGAUCCAGCCAUGCCGCGUGCGGGAAGAAGGCCUUCGGGUUGUAAACCGCUUUUGUUAGGAACGAAAAGGUUUCUGUGAACAACAGAGACUGCUGACGGUACCUAAAGAAUAAGCACCGGCUAACUACGUGCCAGCAGCCGCGGU